rnacentral:rRNA from 1 species
UACGUAGGGAGCAAGCGUUGUCCGGAUUUAUUGGGCGUAAAGAGCUCGUAGGCGGCUUAGAAAGUCAGGUGUGAAACCUCCAGGCUCAACCUGGAGACGCCACUUGAUACUUCUAUGGCUUGAGUUCGGUAGGGGUAAGCGGAAUUCCUGGUGUAGCGGUGAAAUGCGCAGAUAUCAGGAGGAACACCGAUGGCGAAGGCAGCUUACUGGGCCGAUACUGACGCUGAGGUGCGAAAGCGUGGGGAGCAAACAGG